GACGAAUGCUGGCUGCGUGCUUAACACAUGCAAGUCGAACGAAGCCUUCGGGCUUAGUGGCGGACGGGUGAGUAACACGUGGGAACGUACCUUUUGGUUCGGAAUAACGCAGAGAAAUUUGCGCUAAUACCGAAUGAGCCCCUAGGGGGAAAGAUUUAUCGCCGAAAGAUCGGCCCGCGUUGGAUUAGGUAGUUGGUGUGGUAAAGGCGCACCAAGCCUACGAUCCAUAGCUGGUCUGAGAGGAUGAUCAGUCACACUGGGACUGAGACACGGCCCAGACUCCUACGGGAGGCAGCAGUGGGGAAUCUUGCGCAAUGGGCGAAAGCCUGACGCAGCCAUGCCGCGUGAAUGAUGAAGGUCUUAGGAUUGUAAAAUUCUUUUACCAGGGACGAUAAUGACGGUACCUGGAGAAAAAGCCCCGGCUAACUUCGUGCCAGCCGCCGCGGUAAAAC
rnacentral:rRNA from 1 species